rnacentral:rRNA from 1 species
UUUCCCUCAGGAUAGCUGGCACUCGCUUGAGCGAGUCUCAUCUGGUAAAGCGAAUGAUUAGAGGCCUUGGGGCCGAAACGACCUCAACCUAUUCUCAAACUUUAAAUGGGUGAGAUCUCUGGCUUGCUUGAACGUUGAAGCCAUGAGAUUUUUUUAAUCUUGGAUCAGAGUGCCAAGUGGGCCAAUUUUGGUAAGCAGAACUGGCGCUGUGGGA